AUGUUUUUCGCCGGCGGUAGAGAAUUCUCUGUUUGGUGUGACUUUUUCCCUUUUCCUGUGCCCCGUGUGCCUCGCGCGAGUACAUGUGUGUGUUAUGGUGCCGUAGGUCAGUCUUGGGAUGCGUCCUGAAACCAUAGAGUCACCAGGACGACCGUGUGAAACAAGAAAUGAGUCCAUACGUGUUGCCGGCGUCUGGACCUCCACAUGCAGGGUCGCCGCCUCCUCCCUUUCCCCCUCCACAUCCUUGGUCCGCCUCACCUGCCGCUGCUCCAGGUCAGAGGUGGGUAUUUGUGAAAUCGCGGCGUACAUUCUCCACACUUUCUCCAGGAUGAAUGCACGAAAUCCCUUGCUCAACCCGUUUUGCUGCCUCGCUAUUAAGGUAAAACAACCAUCAGAUUCCUGAAGUUCAUAUCCGUCAUAUUUCUGUAUUUAAUCAUGUAAAUAAAUUCUGGACUC